rnacentral:rRNA from 1 species
UACGUAGGGUGCAAGCGUUAAUCGGAAUUACUGGGCGUAAAGCGUGCGCAGGCGGUUAUGUAAGACAGAUGUGAAAUGCCCGGGCUUAACCUGGGAACUGCAUUUGUGACUGCAUGGCUAGAGUUUGGCAGAGGAGAGCGGAAUUCCUGGUGUAGCGGUGGAAUGCGCAGAUAUCAGGAAGAACACCCGUGGCGAAGGCGGCUCUCUGGGACGGUACUGACGCUGAGACGCGAAAGCGUGGGGAGCGAACAGG